rnacentral:lncRNA from 1 species
UGCUGGGACUAUAGGUUGGGCUUGAAGGAGAAUAUGAUGGAGAUGUUGGAGAGUACGAUGGUGAUGUGGGACUGCAAACACAAGACCACAUUUAAUCACAUCAUUAGUAAUAUAUCUAGAGCGGGUCUGGAAUCCACCAAUACAAAAACCCAACAACUUCAGAAACUAACUAGUUAUUAUGAAGCUGAAACCAGAUAUAAGUUAGGUAAAGUGACCUAAUUAAGAAGAUUAAGGCGCUACUAAAGUCACUGUAUUAUUAUCAAACAGAACCAAAUUAAGAACCUUUUCUGUCUCAGCAGAAGAAUCAAAGACACAUGUAUCAAACCAAGGUUGUUUACCUGUAACUUGGAGAUGACGGGCUGUAUGGACUAGAAGGAGACAGCUUCGGGCUGGUUGGCGAAUAUGCAAGGGAGGGGCUGUAUCUCGCCGAGGGAUUGUAACUUGGUGAUGUAGGACUGUAGGAUGGUGAUGUUGGGCUAUAGCUGGGAGAUGUUGGGCUGUAACCAGGGGAGGUAGGACUGUAUGCAGGAGAAGUUGGACUAUAUGAUGGAGAAGUCGGACUAUAAGAGGGUGAGGUGGGGCUAUAUGAAGGUGAUGUGGGGCUGUAAGAAGGUGAAGUGGGGCUGUAAGAUGGCGAAGUGGGGCUGUAUGCCGGAGAAGUGGGGCUGUAGGCCGGAGAAGUGGGGCUGUAUGCCGGAGAAGUAGGGCUGUAGCUAGGUGAUGUUGGGCUAUAGCUAGGCGAGGUUGGGCUAUAGCUUGGAGAUGUUGGACUAUAACUGGGUGAUGUGGGUGAGUAUGAAGGACUGGUUGGAGAAUAUGCUGGACUUGUCGGGCUGUAGCCAGGGGAGCUGGGGCUAUAAGUGGGGGAAGUGGGGCUGUAACCAGGAGAUGUGGGGCUGUAACCGGGGGAAGUGGGGCUGUAUCCUGGAGAGGUCGGGCUGUAACCAGGGGAUGAUGGGCUGUAACCAGGGGAUGAUGGACUGUAACCAGGGGAUGAAGUAGGAGAG